UGCUCAAGGCGUUCGUUUCAUAAGAUUCUUCGUUAAAUGUCUGAGUUGGUUAUGCCUUGAUUUCACUUUACCCACUUUAUGAAUGAAAUCCAGGUUAGAAGGGUCAAGACUAUUUCCAGGGCCAUCCCGGGAAGGGCAGACUGACAAGAAUAGCUAACUAAAACAGGAAAUAACUUAACCGAUUGCAGGCUCAUUAUAUUAACUUUAUUCUCCUUGGGAGGCAAGCAAGGCUCAUAAUUACUGCUAAGUUAAGCAACGCUUUUCCUCUUGGUUGUAACAAGAUGAAAUUACACAUACACUGCUUGUAUCAAAUUCUUAACAUCACACUUGCACUCAGCUGCUUGGACUGAGAAAACAAUACCACCUAGGGAUAUUUUCCCAUCAUUUUCCUGUCCCCAUCAUUUGCAAACAAUUGUCCGUCCUAUAUCAACAAAAUUUACACCCCGAGUGAUGCGAUUGCUAGCAAUAAGAGCCAUAAACAGGCUGUUCAAACUUAGCAACAGGGUACAAAAUUGAGGAGUUUUUAUUUCAUUUCAUUUUAUUUUAUUCAUUUAUCACCAUUUAUACAUUACAUGUACACGAUCUCCAAAAUUUAACUCACAGCAACAUCAUCUGCUUUGCAGGCAAUAGUAACGCGAAAUUGCAAAGUAAUUGAUGUGGUUCAUGCUGUUGUUUACCAGUUGUGGGUUUUCUUCACAGACCGUGCAAUAUCUAUGUCGUGGUAAAUAAACAUGAAUUUUAAUUUGGUGCCCUAUUGUUAGUUUGAACAGCCUGGUUGCGACUGUACUCUGCUGUAGAAAUACGUCAAAUAUUGCUUGUGAGAAAAUGAUCGUAUUUGGACACCCCGACAGGUGUACUACGACAACAAAAGCAAACAUUUAAGACAUAAAACCCCCAUAUUUCCCCGUGUUUAUUGAGUUCAUCAUCGACUCGUGAACCAUCAAGAUGGCAUCCAAGAUGUACAUGCUCAUUGCCGUAGUUGCAGUAAUCCUGAGGCCCUCCGUUAGCCAGAGAUGCGGACAACGUAUGGCAUCCAGAGUGGUCAACGGACAGAAUGCACAGCGCCACGCCUGGCCUUGGCAGAUUUCCCUUAGAGUUAAUGGUGGCCACAUCUGCGGUGGAUCAAUCAUUAGCCCGUGAUGGAUUUUGACUGCCUCACACUGUGUUGAGAGAAACCCAUAUCCCAGUGGAUACACUGUUGUUGUCGGAGCACAUGCGCAGAGUGAAAGACCGACCAAUAAUCAAGUGUUUUACCUGAGGAGAGUGAUAAUGCACGAGCGAUAUCGUAAUCUGAAUUUCGAUGUAGCUCUCCUGCAACUAAGGAGACCUAUCCAAAUGAGUAGCAAGGCAAGGGC